rnacentral:rRNA from 14 species
ACCGCCCGUCGCCGGGACCACUUGGCCCGUGCGUCGAUGAAGAACUCGGCUAGCAGCGAGAACUAAUGUGAAUCGGUGGGCACAUUGAUCAUUGAUGCUUCGAAAGCAUCUUGCGAUCCACCGGUUCCUCCCGGGGCUGCACCUGUCUGAAGGGCC